rnacentral:rRNA from 1 species
AACGAACGCUGGCGGCAUGCCUAACACAUGCAAGUCGAACGAGACCUUCGGGUCUAGUGGCGCACGGGUGCGUAACGCGUGGGAACCUGCCCUUAGGUUCGGAAUAACUCCCCGAAAGGGGUGCUAAUACCGGAUAAUGUCUUCGGACCAAAGAUUUAUCGCCUUUGGAUGGGCCCGCGUUGGAUUAGCUAGUUGGUAGGGUAAAAGCCUACCAAGGCGACGAUCCAUAGCUGGUCUGAGAGGAUGAUCAGCCACACUGGGACUGAGACCCGGCCCAGACUCCUACGGGAGGCAGCAGUGGGUAAUAUAGGAGCGUGGGCGUAAGCCUGAGCCAGCGCUGCCGCGUGAGUGAUGAAGGGCUUAGGGUUGUAAAGCGCUUUUACCCGGGAUGAUAAUGACAGUACCGGGAGAAUAAGCUCCGGCUAACUCCGUG